rnacentral:rRNA from 1 species
UACGUAGGGGGCAAGCGUUGUCCGGAUUUAUUGGGCGUAAAGAGCGUGUAGGCGGCCAGGGAGGUCCGUUGUGAAAACUCGAGGCUCAACCUCGAGACGCCGAUGGAAACCCCCUGGCUAGAGUCCGGAAGAGGAGAAUGGAAUUCCUGGUGUAGCGGUGAAAUGCGCAGAUAUCAGGAAGAACACCCGUGGCGAAGGCGGCUCUCUGGGACGGUACUGACGCUGAGACGCGAAAGCGUGGGGAGCGAACAGG